GGAGAUAUGGCUCAAGUGGCAAAGCACCUGCCUAGAAAACAUGAGGCCCUGGGUUCAAACCCUAGUAUUUCUA
rnacentral:tRNA from 1 species